UACAGAGGUGUCAAACGUUGUCCGGAAUUACUGGGCGUAAAGGGCGCGUAGGCGGCCUUAUAAGUCAUGUGUGAAAGCUCUGGGCUCAACCCAGGAAUUGCAUGUGAUACUGUAAGGCUCGAGUUCGGUAGAGGAGGGCGGAAUUCCAGGUGUAGCGGUGAAAUGCGUAGAUAUCUGGAGGAACACCCGUGGCGAAGGCGACAUCCUGGACCGGUAUUGACGCUGAGGCGCGAAAGCCAGGGGAGCAAACGGG
rnacentral:rRNA from 1 species